AAGUCAUCAAAUUAGUCGGGUGUUUGGUGGAGCCUGAAUGUAGCCCCAGUGGUGUGGUGCCCUGGUUCUCGGGAGCUUUUCAUGAAGCUUCCCCUGACAAGAUGGAUGGGUACUGCAAUGAUGUCACCAUCAUCCCUUCAUAAACCCUCCAUUUCCACGUCUACCUGCCUCAGUGGAGAGCAUCCUAUCACAGAGAGAAAACUUCCUGGGCUGGAAGGCUCCGCCCACCUCCCAACUCCAUAAAGCCAUCCAAAUGGU
rnacentral:sRNA from 1 species